rnacentral:rRNA from 1 species
GACGAACGCUGGCGGCGUGCUUAACACAUGCAAGUCGAACGGAAAGGCCUCUUUCGGGGGGUACUCGAGUGGCGAACGGGUGAGUAACACGUGAGUAACCUGCCCUUGACUUUGGGAUAACUUCAGGAAACUGGGGCUAAUACCGGAUAGGAGCUCCUGCUGCAUGGGGGGGGUUGGAAAGUUUCGGCGGUUGGGGAUGGACUCGCGGCUUAUCAGCUUGUUGGUGGGGUAGUGGCUUACCAAGGCUUUGACGGGUAGCCGGCCUGAGAGGGUGACCGGCCACAUUGGGACUGAGAUACAGACCAGACUCCGACGGGAGGCAGCAGUGGGGAAUAUUGCACAAUGGGUGGAAGCCUGAUGCAGCAACGCCGUGUGCGGGAUGACGGCCUUCGGGUUGUAAACCGCUUUCGCUCAUGACGAAGCUUUGUGUGACGGUAGUGGGUAAAGAAGCACCGGCUAACUACGUG